rnacentral:rRNA from 1 species
GACGAACGCUGGCGGCGUGCUUAACACAUGCAAGUCGAACGGAAAGGCCCCUUUGGGGGUACUCGAGUGGCGCACGGGUGCGUAACACGUGAGUAACCUGCCCUUGACUUCGGGAUAACUUCAGGAAACUGGGGCUAAUACCGGAUAGGAAUCCUUGCUGCAUGGUGGGGGUUGGAAAGCUUCGGCGGUUUUGGAUGGACUCGCGGCUUAUCAGCUUGUUGGUGGGGUAGUGGCUUACCAAGGCUUUGACGGGUAGCCGGCCUGAGAGGGCGACCGGCCACAUUGGGACUGAGAUACGGCCCAGACUCCUACGGGAGGCAGCAGUGGGGAAUAUUGCACAAUGGGCGGAAGCCUGAUGCAGCAACGCCGCGGGCGGGAUGACGGCCUUCGGGUUGUAAACCGCUUUCAGCAGGGGCGAAGCUUGUGGUGACGGUACCUGCAGAAGAAGCACCGGCUAACUACGUG